CUAAUUCAGGGAGCCAGUGACAAGAAAUAGCAAGCUGGGAAACCUAGUUUCUACGGCAUUGAAAUGAGAAAAGUGUAAAUCUCUUAGCGAGGAACAAUUGGAGGGCAAGUCAUGGUGCCAGCAGCCGCGGUAAUUCCAGCUCCAAUAGCGUAUAUUAAAGUUGUUGCAGUUAAAAAGCUCGUAGUUGAACUUCUGUUCAGGUUUAUAACGACUCGUCGUGUAAAACUGGACAUACGUUUGCAAACUAAAAUCGGCCUUUACUGGUUCGACUUAGGGAGUAAACAUUUUACUGUGAAAAAAUUAGAGUGUUCCAGGCAGGUUUUAGCCCGAAUACAUUAGCAUGGAAUAAUGGAAUAGGACUAAGUCCAUUUUAUUGGUUCUUGGAUUUGGUAAUGAUUAAUAGGGACAGUUGGGGGCAUUAGUAUUUAAUAGUCAGAGGUGAAAUUCUUGGAUUUAUUAAGGACUAACUAAUGCGAAAGCAUUUGCCAAAGAUGUUUUCAUUAAUCAAGAACGAAAGUUAGGGGAUCAAAGACGAUCAGAUACCGUCGUAGUCUUAACUAUAAACUAUACCGACUCGGGAUCGGCUGGAAUAAAUGUCCAGUCGGCACCGUAUGAGAAAUCAAAGUCUUUGGGUUCUGGGGGAAGUAUGGUACGCAAGUCUGAAACUUAAAGGAAUUGACGGAACAGCACACCAGAAGUGGAACCUGCGGCUUAAUUUGACUCAACACGGGGAAACUCACGAGCGCAAGACAGAGAAGGGAUUG
rnacentral:rRNA from 1 species